UGCCAGCAGCCGCGGUAAUACGGAGGGGGUUAGCGUUGUUCGGAAUUACUGGGCGUAAAGCGCACGUAGGCGGAUUAGUAAGUUAGGGGUGAAAUCCCGGGGCUCAACCCCGGAACUGCCUCUAAUACUGCUAGUCUUGAGUUCGAGAGAGGUGAGUGGAAUUCCGAGUGUAGAGGUGAAAUUCGUAGAUAUCGGGAGGAAUACCGGUGGCGAAGGCGACUACCUGGCCAAAUACUGACGCUGAGGUGCGAAAGCGUGGGGAGCAAACGGGAUUAGAUA
rnacentral:rRNA from 1 species